GCCAGAAACGCCGAGCUGAGGCGCGCGUCGAGCUCGCCGUCGGCCGCCGCCGCCUCCAUGUGCGAGUAGAGGAUGUGCUGCAGCUGCGUGUACUCCACCUCCGUCAUCUCCACCAGGCUCAGGGUCCUCUGUGCCCGGGAUGACCCACGCAAGAAGAGAUCAUGAAGAAGCGAGUUGCGCCCACGGCACUCGCAGUCAGGAAGCUGUUUGCCGAGCGCCGCGUGGUCGCUGUGGUUUGUGAGCUUUGUUCGCUCCUCAAGGUGGACGAGGACUGAGGGAAUCUGAUAAACCUUUGUUACAGAGGGAGUACGUGGAGAGGGGCGGGGCAGAGAGAGAAUCCCAAGCAGGCUCCACGCUGUCAGCCUAGAGCCCCACGCAAGGCUGGAUCUCACGAACCUCGAGAUGGUGACCCGGGCUGAAAUCAAGAGUCGGACGCUCAACCAAGUGGGGCGUUCUGCUGACGGAGCCAUCCAGGCGCCCCUGGAAAUUUAAUUAUUAUUAAACACUGAUUAUAAGGACGUUAAACAUUUAAUUUCGAGUUUAAAUAUUUAUUUAAGAAACAUCGUUCCCUAGAUUUGUAAGAGAAAGAAAUGGGACGGGAAACAAAAUGUGAGUUUCCCUCUGCUUGCCCAAAGAUUUCUCAGCUAUCAAAGUAUUGAUGAGUCAGACGCACGCGCGCGCACACACGCAGAAGGAAAGACAAACCAGGGGAAAGUUCCGGGCAACUGCUUCGAACUUGCGAGAAAUGAGAGUGAGCACGGGCUGGCAGAAGCCAGAGCUUCAUGCUGCCCUGGUCGGGGGCAAGGUGACAGGCAUCAGGAGCGGUAGCGGGGACAGACGGUCUCCAGUGACGGCCUGCAAAAUCCCAACACGGCGAAAGCAGCCAGGGGUAGACCAAGUCCCUUCCGGAGAAAUUCGGGGGAGGAGUUCCAGGGAAAGGGGCAGGACAAGGAGGCAGGAUCCGCAGGGCAGGACAGACAAGGGGUCAUCCAGCCGCGUGGCAGAGACAGAACGAAGGAAGUGGCAGAGGAAAGACCCCAGACCCAGGUCAGAGGGCGCCCCCCCCCCCCCGUUCUGUUUCUUUAAAGAAGAAGAGAUGUUCACUUACUGCUGUAUAAUUACAGAUACGUGGGGGGUCUUUUCUGAAAUCAAAGGCGAGUCACUGCCGGAAUAAGGCUUUGCCGUAUUCCGGGCGAACAAAGCCGGACUGCCGCAGAAUCACCUCCAGAGUUGAGCUCCUUUCUUUUUGUCCCUGAUGUGUGCGCACAUGCAUGGGUGUGAGUGUGCGUGAGUGUGUAUGUGCACACGUGUGUGUGUGUGUGUACAAGUGCAGCUGUGGGGGGUAGGACUCACCUCUGGUUGCUGCCAACGCGACGCCCGGCCUCCACUCUUCGUCUGGGCGACACGGCGUCACUUCCAGUAACCGUCACUCGCUUGGGCAUCUUCUGUGAGUUUUCAACGUUUAUUUAUUUUUGGGACAGAGAGAGACAGAGCAUGAACGGGGGAGGGGCAGAUGUGAGUUUUGGCACUUGCAAACAGCCACGCAGCCAACACCCCACCCCCGUGACUCCCUGGUGCCGCUCCCCAGCGGUGUGCUCCCCUCACCCCAGCCCCAUCUAUCCCCCCGGUUUUGUCUUAUCGCUGUCACGUGAUGGGCUGGUGGCCUCCGGUCUGGCUUCUCCCCCUUGCUCGACACAGCAGAGGCCCCCGCACCGCGGCCCCUGCCCGCUCGUGCUCACUUUCACGGUUGGGCUGCGGCUGAGCCCCGGCUGGGACACGCGUGGACAGAGGGGACUUCGGGUGGUCUCCUGGUUUGGGCAGUUAUGAGUAAGUCACUGUAGAUGUUUGCUUACAGAUUUUCGUGUGUGCAGAAGUCUUCCUCCGUGUAGGGCAGCUUCCCACCCUUUGAAAAACGGCGGCUCCCCAAGAAGCCCCUCCAGACUUUUCUCUGCGCUGGGCCCUUCGGAGGGCCACAGACCGUUGCAGUAGCUAAGACCUGUACCCCCCGAACCAGCCUUGGCCCCCACGGGGGUGACACUGCCCUGCGGAUAACGCAUGCUUUGGGGGCGUGUGUCCGGCAGGGCGCCUGCUGGGUGGUGUGGAAGGUGACGGAGAAGUCACUGAUAGGAACCGGGCACUGCCUGCCUGGCUGUGGCUCCGGCUGCCCUUCCUCGCCGCGGUGCUGACCUGGUUUUCUGGCAGGCCCGGACUCGUUCCUGUGCAGCAAGGGGUGGCCGUGUGACACAGCGUGGCGACAAGAUAUAAGCAAAAGUUUCAACCAGGAGGGCAGAUGGGGCAGGGCUGCCCUGCUCCGGCUCUGUCUCUCGUGCUGGCUUCCUCCCAGAACAGUGAGGUGAUGAUGUCACGCCUGCAGGGGCAGCCUUCUUGCAACCAUGAGGACAAAGUCACGAGCUGAGGACGGGGCUGUCAGGGACACGGAGGCCACUCUACCCACUGGGACUGCCUGCCUCUAGUGGCCGCGUGUAGGUUUGGAAGCCGUUCCCCUCGCCCUGAAGGCACCGCGUCAGCCUGCCGGCUCGGCCACGGCCACCCACUCCACCCGCGGCACCGGAGCCUGGGCCACGGGCUCCACCACACCUCCAGGCCACGGCGGCCACGGCACCAGGCACCGCUCGAGCAGGCAGAGCGGUAGGAUGGGUGACCCGACUCAAAGUCGGGGGGUGGGGGUCGUCGGCACAGGGCAGGGGUGGGCGUGUGCGAGCUCGUGGAGGGGCCCCCCCAGGCCCAGACUCCCGACAGGGGAAGUGACACAGGCGCGGCAGAAAACCUUCUGUAGAUGUUUAUUCUACUUCAAGUAACAAAACCUAUGCAGUUCCGUGUUUUAAUGUACAGUGAUAUAAUACUUUGUAAUAUAAAAUACAAUUUACAGAAAUUUCUAUCAAGUAAACCUAAAGAAACACACUUGAUUUUUACACUUGUGUAUUUAAAUUAGAAAAAUUUGUUUUACAUGUAAAAAACCCUUCGCAUCGUAUGAGACGUUGGAACUUUCAGCACUCGGCUGCGGUGUCACCUGACGUUUGCUCUGGAAUCCCAGUCCCUCCAAAUCACUAAGUCCUCCGUGUUCUUACCAUUUGUACGUUUGUGCUAGAGAGUGAAAAAUCUGUAGUGAUGUACGAUGGAACAGACUCCAAAGAAUGAAUGAAAUUCUCUCAUUUUACACUUGCAAAAGUAAGUUUAUGAAAAUAUAAAAAAUUAUCAAAGUGUAUUUGUACAGUCAAAUAAAUUAGCAAGGCUUCCUCCCUCUCACGCUCCGGAAGUACCUGCAAAUACGCCACAGAAGGCAGGCCGCCGUUUCAGCCAACAGCUUUCUGAGUUGUAGCUCUCUAACUACGAUCACUGGUUUCCGUCCCAGACUUCACACAAGUACUGUUCCGCUUUCAAUGACAAACUCUAAAACGCAUCACCGGACAGUGUAACAGUCUGGAGCUGGUGCCCUUUCCCUGGGACACAGGAAGGACUGCUCAGAGGGUCGGGUUUCACAAACAAAAUGUUCCUGAUCCUUCAAGUCCAAGUAACCCCCCUCCCCCCACCCCCUUUUUAAAGUACACUUAAUUGGCUUAUCUUCUCACUUUCUUUAGGCUGGUAAAGGUUACACCUUUUUCAAUAGAUUGCUAUUUAAAAUGCAACAAUUUCUACUUGGACAGAUGUUGCUUUCAAUCACGUUUUUGAAAAAAAAAUGUAUAAGGUGAUAUAUAAAAACUGAGCAAAACUAAGAAAUGUUUUGUUUCCUGGUUGAAAUUUGCAAUUCAAAUUUCUUUAGGACAAAAGGAAAAUGCAUUUGUGGGCUUUUGUGCAUCUGACACCCCAGGGAGCGAGCAGAAAGCAGGCCACCUGCCCCCGAGCACUACACCUGUGACACCUGUGACAACAGCUUCUGGAAACAGAAAUACAGGUUGGGCCUCCUGCCUCAUAGCUGAUGUGCGAGAGCACAGAUGUCCAUUGAAGACAUCCGCUCAUAACACACCAGGACCUCGCCAUCACCUCAAGAGACAUGGCUUCUAGAACGUCCUCUCCCUGCCCCCCCCCCCGGCCCCCAACAAAAGCUGUGUAUCCAGGAAAGGGAAGAGCCAGGCAAAGGAGGGAACAGACUGGAAAAUCAGGCAGCCCACACUGUGCCACAUGGCAAACGUUUCUGCUCAGCAGACCUGAGGGUUAAUCUAUCAAGUUCAUUUCCUAAUUAACACGAGUUAAGGAUAACUUACAAGGGCACUCCUCUCACCGUAGCAGUUUACUGGACAUCUGACUGCUUACUCAGACCCAGCCUGGGGUUUGGUCAAUUGCUAACAUGGCUAUCUGGCCCUUCUGGACCGCGGGUCGGCUGCCAGCGGCCCCAGAGCCUGCAGACCUGCUCUGCGAGCCUGGCUCUCCCUGAAGAACCUGACACGAGAGCCACGGUGAAGGAAUGCGCUCAGCCACGUGGGUGGGUGGGUGCGAGCCAGGGCCGGGGAGCCUUGGUGAGGGGGAAGUCCCCGGGACCUGUACUCCACGCAGGGGAAGCCCAACUGGGGCUUGUGGCUCGGGGUCAGGCCCCAGAGGUCAGUAAGCUGUGCAUGGCAGGGAAGUCAUGGUGUUAAAUCCGGGGAGGCUUGGGUCUCAGUCCUGGUGAAGCGUGCCUUCACAAGGGAAGCUUACAACGGGUGAAUAUGCAGACUAGAGGGCGAUCACUACACCCCUAACCUCGGCAGCCCUCUGCAGAUUCCAGCCUCUGCUGUCCUAUUCAUCACGGGGGAAGAGGGUUAAAUCACUCAGCAUUUACAUUUGUUUUGAGAACAGCAAGCUCGCCAGGCACUGGCAUCUAAUUAAGUAGCUUUCAACUCUCGACCGGACUGCAUCUGCACCUAUCUGUAAACAGUCUAACGAGGAUCGGUGUUAAGUUUUGAAUUUCACCGAGACUUUAUGCCUACGUCUGUUCUGAAGCAGUCGGAUCUCAUCACCCGACGCGUGUGUUCGUGUCACGGCUGCAUUAGUAUCUGAAGUGUAACUGGCACAGUAUCUGAAGUGUAAACGGCAGUAACUGACGUUUGUGGAACAAACAGUAAAAUUUGCUAAUCUAGUGGCCUCGGAA